UCUGAUUAGCUAGUUGGUAGGGUAAAAGCCUACCAAGGCAUCGAUCAGUAACUGGUCUGAGAGGAUGACCAGUCACACUGGGACUGAGACACGGCCCAGACUCCUACGGGAGGCAGCAGUGGGGAAUUUUCCGCAAUGGGCGAAAGCCUGACGGAGCAAUACCGCGUGAGGGAGGAAGGCUCUUGGGUUGUAAACCUCUUUUCUCAGGGAAGAACAAAAUGACGGUACCUGAGGAAUCAGCAUCGGCUAACUCCGUGCCAGCAGCCGCGGUAAUACGGAGGAUGCAAGCGUUAUCCGGAAUGAUUGGGCGUAAAGCGUCCGCAGGUGGCUGCUUCAAGUCUGCUGUCAAAGCUCAGGGCUUAACCCUGAAUCGGCGGUGGAAACUGAACAGCUAGAGUGCGGUAGGGGUAGAGGGAAUUCCCAGUGUAGCGGUGAAAUGCGUAGAGAUUGGGAAGAACACCAGUGGCGAAAGCGCUCUGCUGGACCGCAACCGACACUCAUGGACGAAAGCUAGGGGAGCGAAUGGGAUUAGAUACCCCAGUAGUCCUAGCCGU
rnacentral:rRNA from 1 species